AAAUAGUUUGAGUCCACAUUAACAGAAAAAAAAUGAAGACUUUCUCUCAAUUUUUAUAACAUGAAGAUACGCACCAUACAACAUACAGUCAUGCUCAGGAAGAAGACAAAAUGAAUUCCACAUUUUAAAAAGUCGGGCUGCACAGCUGCAUAACUUACACAGAGAGCGAGAAUGAAACUUCAUUAGGGAGAUAAAAUAUGAGUCACCAUCUCCAAAGCUAUAUCUGACCCGUACCUGAGAAUCUAUCGUAAGAAGAGAAAGCACAUAGUCGGAACCAUCAAUGGAGAUGUCGAAGGAAAGAAGAGACGGAACAGUGUCGGAGAAAUUUUAACUGGCACACCGGACCCUUGAACCACUGUUGAACUGACAUGUCCAUCUUUUAAGAAGCAGAUAUGGUUAUUCUUAUCCACAUCACUUGAAUCGAUUCCCGAUUUUUAUACCAUAUACAGAUCUCUUUGCGUCUUAACUAAGCCUUG
rnacentral:lncRNA from 1 species